rnacentral:misc_RNA from 1 species
GUGCAUGGAAAUGGAAGGAGAUAAUUUUCAGGGCGAAGAGGGGAAUUUGAGAGUAAAAAAAGACAAAAAUAUUAUAUUGAUAUUAGAAAAUUCAAAACCCUACUUCUUGUGUAUAUUCAGCAAUUUCUGUUAUUCAGCUUUCAACAUAAUUUCUAAGGUCACUCUUGAUAAGGGCAUGAGUCGUUAUGUUCUUGUUGCAUAUGGACAUGCUUUUGGGACUUUAACCACUGCUCUUCUCGCACUCCUCUUUGAAAGGAAAAAUGAAAGCAAAAUCAGUUUACCCGUUUGUGUAAACAUCUUCUUCUUGGGUCUUUUUGGAGCAUUGUUAAGGACAACGUAUUAUGCCGGAAUGGAAUACACAUCUUCAAAUUUUGCGUCUGCUAUGGGCAACUUGGCUCCGGCCACUACUUUUCUUUUGGCCAUUUUAUGCAGGAUGGAGAAAUUAGAGAUAAGGAAAUGUAGUAGCCAAGCAAAGAUUGGAGGAACAGUGGUUUCAUUCGCUGGUGGAACAUUUAUGAUCCUUUAUAAAGGCAUCACUGUGCUUUCACUACAUCUUCCACACACUAAAAAACUUUGCUCCCAAUCCAAUGUAUUCAUAGAUCAAGAUUGGAUAAAGGGUUCCUUCAUGCUUCUCAUUCAUUGCCUUUCAACAGCAUUAUUCUACAUCUUACAGGCAAAAACACUGAAUAAGUAUCCAGCACCAAUAUCACUUACAUCAUUAAGUUGCUUAGUAGGAACUGCAAUUACAACUGUUGUGGCAGCCAUUAUAGACCAUAGAGUUUCAUCAUGGAGAUUGUCAUGGAAUAUUGCUCUUGUUGCCAUUCUUUAUAGUGGGAUAAUGAUAUUUGGAAUUACAGUGUAUAUUCAAAUGAUGGUGAUAAGAAAAAAAGGUCCAGUAUUCGUGACAGCAUUUAGACCUCUGGCAACGAUGCUGGUGGCCGUUAUGGGAGUGCUUAUUCUAGGAGAAGCCUUGUACUUGGGAAGGUACGUAAGCCUCUUCAUUUGUUUAAUUUGUGUUAUCAAACUAAAACAGAAGAAUAUGAAUUAGGGACUUAGGUUUAUUAUAUUGGACUCCAAAUAUAUAUUCUCUUACGGUGUUCUGCUUCUGAACAUUUCAGUGUGGUAGGAGCUAUGCUGAUAAUUAUUGGGUUAUAUGCAAUUCUAUGGGGAAAGGAAGAGGAGAAAAAGAAUAUUUUGCCAAAGCAUGCAGUUGUAUUGGUAGACAAUUCUAUCAAGGAGAAACCAGAGAAAUAAUAGUUAUGUACGCGUGUGUAGUAUGCAGCAUUAAUUAAUUAAGAAAACUAAUUAGGGAAUAGCUUGAUUGGUCUUCCUUCACCAUUAAGACUCUGUUUGGAUAAGCUAAGGGAAGGGUAAUUAAUAGAAGGGUAAGGGAGGGUAAGGAGAGAGAAGGAUAAUAAGGGUUACAAUAAAAAAAAUUUCA